AUGCUGCAGGUACACAGCACCCGUGAGUUAUGCACGGAUUUGGUCCUCUGGGAUCUUAGAAUCCACACCCACCCCACAGACAUUUUAAUUUCUUCCCAAGUGUGGCUUGCCCUGACGCCGUCUAUGACAGGAAUGUCUCUUCUCUUGACCUACCAUCACCGUUCUUACAUAAAAUGCACCGCCGCCACCACCACCACCACCACCACCACCACCCGGCCUUCAUCAGUGCUGUGCCUUGUGACUGGCAACUCAGACUUCCUGACCCUCUGUCGGUCAGCACUGGGCAGAAGAAUGGAUCUUCUUGACAAAACGCAUUUCCUGUCUGGAGAGCUGGCCACUUCUAGUUUCCCACAUGGUACCAUCUGGCUCUUAGAAGAAGAUGCCGGCUUUAAGGAAGCCUUGCUAUUUAGACAGAUGCAGCAUUUGUAUCUAUUGGAGAACUUUCCAUCCCCCAAUGUUUUACAAGGCAAAAGUCAUCCAAUAAACUGCCUCUCUUAUUGUUUUUA
rnacentral:lncRNA from 1 species